GAUGAACGCUGGCGGCGUGCCUAAUACAUGCAAGUCGAGCGAACAGACGAGGAGCUUGCUCCUCUGACGUUAGCGGCGGACGGGUGAGUAACACGUGGAUAACCUACCUAUAAGACUGGGAUAACUUCGGGAAACCGGAGCUAAUACCGGAUAAUAUAUUGAACCGCAUGGUUCAAUAGUGAAAGACGGUUUUGCUGUCACUUAUAGAUGGAUCCGCGCCGCAUUAGCUAGUUGGUAAGGUAACGGCUUACCAAGGCAACGAUGCGUAGCCGACCUGAGAGGGUGAUCGGCCACACUGGAACUGAGACACGGACCAGACGCCUACGGGAGGCAGCAGUAGGGAAUGUUCCGCAAUGGGCGAAAGCCUGACGGAGCAACGCCGCGUGAGUGAUGAAAGUCUUCGGAUCGUAAAACUCUGUUAUUAGGGAAGAACAAAUGUGUAAGUAACUAUGCACGUCUUGACGGUAACUAAUCAGAAAGCCACGGCUAACUACGUG
rnacentral:rRNA from 1 species